rnacentral:rRNA from 1 species
CCUACGGGAGGCAGCAGUGGGGAAUAUUGGACAAUGGGCGAAAGCCUGAUCCAGCAAUGCCGCGUGUGUGAAGAAGGCCUGCGGGUUGUAAAGCACUUUCAUCAGGGACGAAAAACCCGGGGCGAAUACCCCCGGGCCUUGACUUAACCUGAACAAGAAGCACCGGCUAACUCCGUGCCAGCAGCCGCGGUAAUACGGAGGGUGCGAGCGUUAAUCGGAAUUACUGGGCGUAAAGCGCACGUAGGAGGCGAGAUCAGUCAGAUGUGAAAUCCCCGGGCUCAACCUGGGAAUUGCAUUUGAUACUGUCUUGCUAGAGUCUGGCAGAGGUAAGCGGAAUUCCGGGUGUAGCGGUGGAAUGCGUAGAUAUCCGGAAGAACACCAGUGGCGAAGGCGGCUUACUGGGCCAAGACUGACUCUGAGGUGCGAAAGCGUGGGGAGCGAACAGGAUUAGAUACCCUGGUAGUCCACGCCGUAAACGAUGUCAACUAGCCGUUGGACCCGUUUGAGGGUCAAGUGGUGCAGCUAACGCGAUAAGUUGACCGCCUGGGGAGUACGGCCGCAAGGUUGAAACUCAAAGGAAUUGACGG